rnacentral:rRNA from 1 species
ACUCUUAGUCUAAAUAACCUAAAGGCACCAAAUCCUAUGUGAUCUUGGAAGCUAAGCAGGGUCAACCCAAGUUAAUAUCUGGAUAGGAAACCACCCACAAACACCAGGUGCUUUAUGCU